GCACCUGUAGCUUAACCGGUAAACGGGACCUCCAUGUGAGGCUCGUCAAACCCCGGCCGACGCAGCGAUAGCCGUUUCUUCCAGGGCUUCACUAUCGCAGCAUCGCCUCGGCGCGAGAGCGGAACGGAACGGGUCCCCAAAAGCACCAGCCUUGGGAGCUGGAGAGUGCGGGUUCGAAUCCCGUCAGGUGCGCCA
rnacentral:tRNA from 1 species